AUUGAACGCUGGCGGCAGGCCUAACACAUGCAAGUCGAGCGGAUGAAGGGAGCUUGCUCCUGGAUUCAGCAGCGGACGGGUGAGUAAUGCCUAGGAAUCUGCCUGGUAGUGGGGGAUAACGUCCGGAAACGGGCGCUAAUACCGCAUACGUCCUGAGGGAGAAAGUGGGGGAUCUUCGGACCUCACGCUAUCAGAUGAGCCUAGGUCGGAUUAGCUAGUUGGUGGGGUAAAGGCCUACCAAGGCGACGAUCCGUAACUGGUCUGAGAGGAUGAUCAGUCACACUGGAACUGAGACACGGUCCAGACUCCUACGGGAGGCAGCAGUGGGGAAUAUUGGACAUUGGGCGAAAGCCUGAUCCAGCCAUGCCGCGUGUGUGAAGAAGGUCUUCGGAUUGUAAAGCACUUUAAGUUGGGAGGAAGGGCAGUAAGUUAAUACCUUGCUGUUUUGACGUUACCAACAGAAUAAGCACCGGCUAACUUCGUG
rnacentral:rRNA from 1 species